rnacentral:lncRNA from 1 species
CAACCGCCAGGGGCCGGGCCUGGGGGCGAGGCGAGGCGCGGCGCGGCGCAGGACAGGGCCGCGGCCGCUGGGUGUCGCCCUCGCAGCGGGCAGGGCGGCGGCGGGCGCCACCUCAGAGCCGGGGGCCGCCGGCCCGCGGAGCCCAGCGCGGCGCUUGGUGGGCGCAUACGUUUGAAGAAACACAGAUAUAAGAAAUUCUGACCUGGCAUGCACUGGGUGAUGUUUGAUCCACUUCACUUUCUCUGAUGACUUGAUGGAAAAUGAUGGGAAUCCAGCAGGAGAAGAGAGAAUGGCUGUGCUGGGUACGAUGCAAACAAAUUAUUCAGGCCAGGCUAUAUGGGGUUGUCCAGCCCCUUCCCAGAAGGAGAGGAAGCAGGCAGGACUGGAAAAGAACUGGCUUCAAGAGACUGCAGUGG